rnacentral:rRNA from 1 species
GGUGAGUGGCGAACUGGUGAGUAACACGUGGGAAACCUGCCCAGAAGCGGGGGAUAACACCUGGAAACAGAUGCUAAUACCGCAUAACAACUUGGACCGCAUGGUCCGAGUUUGAAAGAUGGCUUCGGCUAUCACUUUUGGAUGGUCCCGCGGCGUAUUAGCUAGAUGGUGNGGUAACGGCUCACCAUGGCAAUGAUACGUAGCCGACCUGAGAGGGUAAUCGGCCACAUUGGGACUGAGACACGGCCCAAACUCCUACGGGAGGCAGCAGUAGGGAAUCUUCCACAAUGGACGAAAGUCUGAUGGAGCAACGCCGCGUGAGUGAAGAAGGGUUUCGGCUCGUAAAACUCUGUUGUUAAAGAAGAACAUAUCUGAGAGUAACUGUUCAGGUAUUGACGGUAUUUAACCAGAAAGCCACGGCUAACUACGUGCCAGCAGCCGCGGUAAUACGUAGGUGGCAAGCGUUGUCCGGAUUUAUUGGGCGUAAAGCGAGCGCAGGCGGUUUUUUAAGUCUGAUGUGAAAGCCUUCGGCUCAACCGAAGAAGUGCAUCGGAAACUGGGAAACUUGAGUGCAGAAGAGGACAGUGGAACUCCAUGUGUAGCGGUGAAAUGCGUAGAUAUAUGGAAGAACACCAGUGGCGAAGGCGGCUGUCUGGUCUGUAACUGACGCUGAGGCUCGAAAGUAUGGGUAGCAAACAGGAUUAGAUACCCUGGUAGUCCAUACCGUAAACGAUGAAUGCUAAGUGUUGGAGGGUUUCCGCCCUUCAGUGCUGCAGCUAACGCAUUAAGCAUUUCCGCCUGGGGAGUACGGCCGCAAGGCUGAAACUCAAAGGAAUUUGACGGGGGCCCGCACAAGCGGUGGAGCAUGUGGUUUUAAUUCGAAGCUACGCGAAGAACCUUACCAGGUCUUGACAUACUAUGCAAAUCUAAGAGAUUAGACGUUCCCUUCGGGGACAUGGAUACAGGUGGUGCAUGGUUGUCGUCAGCUCGUGUCGUGAGAUGUUGGGUUAAGUCCCGCAACGAGCGCAACCCUUAUUAUCAGUUGCCAGCAUUAAGUUGGGCACUCUGGUGAGACUGCCGGUGACAAACCGGAGGAAGGUGGGGAUGACGUCAAAUCAUCAUGCCCCUUAUGACCUGGGCUACACACGUGCUACAAUGGAUGGUACAACGAGUUGCGAACUCGCGAGAGUAAGCUAAUCUCUUAAAGCCAUUCUCAGUUCGGAUUGUAGGCUGCAACUCGCCUACAUGAAGUCGGAAUCGCUAGUAAUCGCGGAUCAGCAUGCCGCGGUGAAUACGUUCCCGGGCCUUGUACACACCGCCCGUCACACCAUGAGAGUUUGNAACACCCAAAGUCGGUGGGGUAA